AGGAAAAUGAAAACUGUGUCCUGUAUUCAAACACAUUGUUCUAUGAGCCUCUGACCAAUGAACCAGUUAUUUGUGAGCUACCAUUUUCUGUGCCACUGGAGCGUCGUUACAACAAGCAUUUCCGCUCCUACAAUGUUGGCUAUCAUCCUCAAGUGGAAGCAGGCACUGUUUUCUUGAGCUUACAAGGUGGCGUCUCCCUCACAGCUGUAGAUGGAUCACAGGGGAACCCAUGCCUACCAUGCAUGUCUUUGGACUGGGGGAGGAAACCCCGGCAGCACAGGGAGAAUAUGCAAACUCUGCACACACGUGGCCCCGGCAGGACACGAACCCUGGACCCUGGAGGUGUGAGGCAAACGUGCUAACCACUAAGCCACUAUGCACCCGGAUGGAGAAAAAUUCUGGAGGAUAUUACAAUGGAACCUG
ensembl:lncRNA